CCUACGGGAGGCAGCAGUGAGGAAUAUUGGUCAAUGGACGCAAGUCUGAACCAGCCAUGCCGCGUGCAGGAAGACGGCUCUAUGAGUUGUAAACUGCUUUUGUACGAGGGUAAACGCAGAUACGCGUAUCUGUCUGAAAGUACCGUACGAAUAAGGAUCGGCUAACUCCGUGCCAGCCGCCGCGGUAAUACGGAGGGUUCAAGCGUUAUCCGGAUUUAUUGGGUUUAAAGGGUGCGUAGGCGGUCGGAUAAGUUAGAGGUGAAAUCCCGAGGCUCAACUUCGGAAUUGCCUCUGAUACUGGUCGGCUAGAGAGUAGUUGCGGUAGGCGGAAUGUAUGGUGUAGCGGUGAAAUGCUUAGAGAUCAUACAGAACACCGAUUGCGAAGGCAGCUUACCAAGCUACUUCUGACGUUGAGGCACGAAAGUGUGGGGAGCAAACAGGAUUAGAUACCCGAGUAGUC
rnacentral:rRNA from 1 species